UAGCGGAGGAAAAGAAAAUAACUAUGAUUCCCUCAGUAAGGGCGACUGAAGCGGGAAGAGCUCAUUCUGUGAAUCUGCACUUUGUGCCGAGUUGUGGACUAAAGAAGUACAUCAGGCAGAGCUCCGGUCUAAGUCUCUUGGAAAAGAGCAGCUUAGAGGGUGACACUCCCGUCCUUGGCUGGAGCUUGUGCCUUUAGCAUGUGCCUUCGACGAGUCGAGUUGCUUGGGAUUGCAGCUCAAAGUUGGUGGUAAAUUCCAUCUAAAGCUAAAUAUCGGCGGGAAACCGAUAGCGUACAAGUACCGUGAGGGAAAGAUGCAAAGAACUUUGAAAAAAGAGUUAAAGAGUACCUGAAAUUGCUGAAAUGGAAGCGAAGGAAACCAGUGCCAUUCUGUAUUAUUUUUCUGUCCUUGCUUGCGAGGAUAGCGCUGUGGUUCAGAAUCGGCCAGCAUGGGUUUCAACCAGGGGAAGUAGUCUUUCAGGAGGCAGCACAAUUUCUGUGUGAUUACUGUUUGAUGUUGCUCUGGUUGAGACCGAGGCUAGUCACUUGUGCUCGUGAUGCUGGCGAAAUGGUUUUCUUUACCCCGUCUUGAAACACGGACCAAGGAGUCUAACAUAUGUGCGAGUAUAUGGGUGGCAAACCCACAUGCGAAAUGAAAGUAACAGUGGUAGGACUCUCUGAGGCACUAUCCGCCGGCCACAAUCCCUCGGGAGAAAGGUCUGAGUGUGAGCAUACAUGUUGGGACCCGAAAGAUGGUGAACUAUGCCUGAAUAGGGUGAAGCCGCCGGAAACGGCGGUGGAGGCUCGUAGCGGUUCUGACGUGCAAAUCGAUCGUCAAAUUUGGGUAUAGGGGCGAAAGACUAAUCGAACCAUCUAGACGU
rnacentral:rRNA from 1 species